rnacentral:rRNA from 1 species
ACCCGGGCCAUGCUCAGUACGGCGAGUGAAGCGGCAAGAGCUCAAAUUUGAAAGCUGGCUCCUUCGGGGUCCGCAUUGUAAUUUGCAGAGGAUGCUUCGGGUGCGGCCCCUGUCUAAGUGCCCUGGAACGGGCCGUCAGAGAGGGUGAGAAUCCCGUCUGGGAUGGGGUGUCCGCGCCCGUGUGAAGCUCCUUCGACGAGUCGAGUUGUUUGGGAAUGCAGCUCUAAAUGGGUGGUAAAUUUCAUCUAAAGCUAAAUACUGGCCGGAGACCGAUAGCGCACAAGUAGAGUGAUCGAAAGAUGAAAAGCACUUUGAAAAGAGAGUUAAAAAGCACGUGAAAUUGUUGAAAGGGAAGCGCUUGCGACCAGACUCGCCUCCAGGGUUCAGCCGGCAUUCGUGCCGGUGUACUUCCCUGGGGGCGGGCCAGCGUCGGUUUGGGCGGCCGGUCAAAGGCUCCCGGAAUGUAGUGCCCUCCGGGGCACCUUAUAGCCGGGAGUGCAAUGCGGCCAGCCUGGACCGAGGAACGCGCUUCGGCACGGACGCUGGCAUAAUGGUCGUAAACGACCCGUCUUGAAACACAGGAACCAAAA